CUGUAUAGUAAUAAUCUGCUCGAAAGCACCUGAGGUUCCCACUGGAAUUGUAUCUAGAAUCAGACGUCAUUCCUUUAUCUGAUCUAAGCAAAAAUGAACCUUGCUAGGAUUCAUGCAUGGUGUAUUAGUAUAAAUAAAUAAUAACCCUUCUCGAUGAAUCCUUCUUAUUUAUCAGGUAGCAAACUACACAGAAAAAGUGCUAUGACUCCAGCAGACGCAUCAAUCUCUUUAUUUAUACAUGGAGAGGAAAUCAAGCACAGCUUUCAACAGCAGUGUCACAGUCUGAUCCGUUCCGCCUCCAGCUGAACACUCAGUAUCAGUGUUUUUCGCACAUUGCAGUCACUUCUGAAAUAACAGUCAAGUUCAGCGUUCAAAAUUCAUCACCAAGGCAUCAGGGACAAGCUUGUGUUCUCGGGAAGUGGAGCAGAGGAACUAGUCUGCUUGAGGGUCUUGUAUUGUGCUCCUGUCUUUCAUCACCUGCACCCCAACGCACCCUGUACUGUUCUGCUUAUUGCUGUGUAAUAAACCACCUCAAGGUUAGUGCUCUAAAACAACAACUGUUGUAGUCUACACAUAGAUUCUGUGGGCCAGAAAUUUAGAGAGAUUUGUCUCUGCUCCAUGGUGUCUGAGGGUUCAUGAGGCUCAGAGUUUCAGGAUCACUCAGGGAACAUUCAAAUGACCGCUGACUGCACUUGACAGGAAGAUUUCUCACCCUCACGUCUGCUUCCCGGGCUGGAGCAAGGUGAAGCCUGGGUUCAGCUGGGACUCUUGACUAGAGUGCCCCACGUGGCCUGCCAUGACAGCUGGACCCUGAGGGGGUCUACAGUGUCAAGUAUUUCAAAAGAACCCUGUGGAAGCUGCAGGGCCUUUUCUGACCCAGCCUGGCAGGUCACACAGUAUCCCUUCCGCUACAUUCUAUUAGCACAGUGUCACUUUGGCCAGUCGAGGCUCAAGGGAGAAGAGUUAGACUCCACCUGUUGACGUAGAACAAGCAAAGUCACCUUGUACUAGAACACGUGGAAUGGAAGAUAUUACUACAGCCACGUCUGGAAACACAACCUCUUGUGUUCCUCGUGGACAUGUUGUCUAUCUCUGAGGCCCUUGGCUGGUGAGAAUCUUGCUCAGUUUUCUUGGUCUAGCCUGCCUAAUUGUAGCUACUUGAUCCUUAUAUGUUAGGUCAGAAAACAUAAGUCAACAUAGAUUUUUAAAUGUUGAUUUUAGAUAUUUAAUUUUCUUAGGUGACUUUUACUGUCCCUAAGUGUAGAUUCAAUUCAUUAUUCUUUACUUUUUAUUCUAUGUAUGCUUCCACCCGGGGCAAUUUUAUUCUGAAAGACUUAUGCUUCGAAUGUGAGAAUGAGAAAAUAUAGCAGAACUAUGAAGGAGCUAUAUCUGCUAGACCAAAUGAAGGGGGCCAGAUAUUCUGAGCCUCAGACACAGCCUCUCUCUGGUCCCUGGCAGAGACCAUACAACUGCAGUCUGCUAUGGGGCCAGCCCAGCCCCCACCCACCCAUCUCUCAGAUUACUCCUCUCAAUCUUUCCUAAACUACUGCUUAAAAAUUUAAUAUU
rnacentral:lncRNA from 1 species